rnacentral:lncRNA from 1 species
CCGGCUAGCGCGGCAGCGCUCACACUCACUCCGAGGGCGCCUCCAAGGUUACCCGCGGGGUGGGGGCUGGGGCAGGCUUCGGCCACUGGCCUUCUCCGCUGCCUUCCUACAGUUGCAGCCCUUUCGCCGCUCCAGAGCCACGGUGAUCCAAACCCCAAAGCAGAAGACGCUCCCAAGUUCGGGAAGGGAAGUCAAGCUGAGAAGCAGGCAGGCGUCCGGGUCGGGGCGGCCUUAGUGGCUCUGGGUGCCUGGACAGCUGGGUCAAGCGAGGUCGCGGCAGGAGGGUGCAGUGGCUCUAGUCGCGCGCUGGAUGCGGUGCAAACUGGGCCUGGGGCAGCACAAGGGGGCUGCAAGCAGCAACAAGCUCCCGUGGCGUCUCAGGCUCGUAGAGGGACAGAGACAAGUGGGCGGCCAAACCUGCCGAGGAAACUAACUAAAUAAAAGGAGACUGUUAUUUAAGGCGCGGAAAUUUGAAAUAUUUGGACAGGAAGAGAAGAGAAAAGAAACCUUAGCGAGGGAGAAAAAAAAAAAAAAAAAAGCAACCUAACGGUUUUGAAGCUCCCCCACCCCCACCCUGGGUUUUUCUGCAGGCGGUUAGGAAGCGCUGGGCUCCAGCUUCCUUACUAGGGAACCUGGAGCCAGAGUUGGAAUCUGGAGAGAGUUUCAAAGGGACCGAAAGGAUGCCUUCGGAGCCCCUCGGUAGAACCUGGAUUGGCUAUGGGCAGAGCUCCAUGUCUCAGGCGGAAAGUUUGUUUCCUGCCUCUCACUGUGUCUCUGCGUGGAUCUGUUUUCUUGAAACUGCAGUGUAAAGCAAAAUAGUACAGAGACCAAGACGGGGACUUUCCCCCUUUUCAGCCCUUUGGUGAAGGUUGCUUAGGGUAGUCUGGAAGGCUGCAAGUACGACCCUCUCUCGCUCUAGCUCUAGCACUGCGAUCUUCCAGAGCUUCUGGACUAUUACUUCUUUCUACUCCCAUUAAAAGCCGAAAACACCUUUUAGGGAACUGAGAUUUCGAAACCAGUCCCGGGCCAUGGUUUCCACAAUGUUCGUUUGAUAAAUACUAUAAAGGAAAUUUAUCAUAUCGUCAAGUGAAUUGCUUUUCCCAAAACAGAAUGCCUUAUUAUGUAUUUGUCAGUUACCCUGUGUGUAUGUGUGUGCGUGUGUACAUGAGCUCAUCAUACCUUGCGAAGUGUAAAAUGUCCAUCAAAAAUUAUUGAUUCACUACUGAAAUAGGAUAAAAAGCAUUUUGCUUAGUGGUUCAGAUACCAGAGCAUAUGUUGAGGUUUUGUACGUGCCCCACCUCUUGUCCCAGGUGUAAGCCUGGAUUUAGAUAACCGAGCAAAGGCUUGAGCCUGAGUUUAGCAAUGUGGAUGCGAAUGCAGAGAAGAAAUUUUGGAGCGCAUCAUUGCGUUGUCUUUAUGCUUUCUACCACAUUGUCCCCUGAGGCUCUGGGCACCCUAUUAAUUAGUACUUGCAUCCUCACUCUUUGUAUCUGAAUAAAUUCAGAUCUCUCCCCCCCGACCUCAGUUCCCUGCAAGUUAGACCCGGUUGAACUUAGCAGUAUCGUCUUUUCCAUUCUAUAUAUUUCAGUAUACUGUCGAGGUUUUUUGAGAAAUUGAAUAAUGGUUUUCAUAUUUCCUAGAGGGGACCACAUAACUCAUUUCUGAAAUACUUAGUAAAGCUACUUCCUGCGAAGAGCCAGAGUACUGUAGGAUGUUUUAAUGCCUACCAAAUUUUAGGCUGAUGAAAAGAUAACUCUUCCCCUCCCUCUAUUGUGUUCAGACCACCGGAGAACAAAACAGUAGUAGAAGUACUCCUCUUUGGCUUUAUGAUCAUACGCCUUUAUAUUUAAAAACCUCUAAAGGGGAAUUUUACUUUAUGACACAUAGUGGAUACUGUGAUGUUUAAUGGAACCUGAAUUUUAAAUUCAGAAUCGUUCAACUUGACAGUUACAGAUUGUAAGGUUUUUAAAAUUACUGUCAGUAGUAGUGUGCUUAGAAAAUAUUCAGCACACAAAAGCAACAUAUCCUGAAUGUUUACUGUAUUUUAAACAUAGCAUGUUUUUUCCUUCAAAAUUAGGUCAAUUUCUAUUUUUUCUUAAAAAAGUUGCCAUCAAAACUUUAUGUAGUAAAUUGUUAUUAAAGGUAACAGAAAUCAAAGUCUUGUUACACCUAGGGAAUGUAAAUUUUACUCAAAAAAUGAAAAGGAUUAAACUUGCACUCCUAUAUUCUUUCAUCUUUUCAUGGAAAAUAAAUGAUUGAAAAUCACUUUCCUGCAACUAUUCCAGUCCUUUUAAGGGCAGCCAUCAGAAUCAUGCCCUUCAAUAAAGCUUUAAGUAUUUUUUUUCUUUUUGAAGCAAGGGCAGAGAGCUUAUGAAGCAGAAGGAGGGGAUUUUCAUAUAAAACACCUUUGUUCAUGUGG